GCGGCGAGUGAAGCGGCAAGAGCUCAGAUUUGGAAUCGUGUUUCGGCACGAGUUGUAAAUUGCAGGUUGGAGUCUUUGUGGAAGCGUGUGUCCAAGUCCCUUGGAACAGGGCGCCAUUGAGGGUGAGAGCCCCGUGGGAUGCGCGCGGAAGCAGCAAGGCCCUUCUGACGAGUCGAGUUGUUUGGGAAUGCAGCUCUAAGCGGGUGGUAAAUUCCAUCUAAGGCUAAAUACUGGCGAGAGACCGAUAGCGAACAAGUACUGUGAAGGAAAGAUGAAAAGCACUUUGAAAAGAGAGUGAAACAGCACGUGAAAUUGUUGAAAGGGAAGGGUAUUGGGCCCGACAUGGGGAUUGCGCAUCUCUGCUCCUUGUGGGCGGGGCGCUGUGCUUUCCCUGGGCCAGCAUCGGUUUUUGCCGCAGGAGAAGGGGUACUGGAAUGUGGCUCCUCGGAGUGUUAUAGCCAGUGCCAGAUGCUGCGUGCGGGGACCGAGGGCUGCGACAUCUGUCUCGGAUGCUGGCACAACGGCGCAAUACCGCCCGU
rnacentral:rRNA from 1 species